UACGGGGGGAGCAAGCGUUGUUCGGAUUUACUGGGCGUAAAGGGCGCGUAGGCGGCCACCGCAAGUCGACUGUGAAAUCUCUGGGCUUAACCCCAGAAAGGUCAGCCGAUACUGCGGGGCUAGAGUGCAGAAGGGGCAACUGGAAUUCUCGGUGUAGCGGUGAAAUGCGUAGAUAUCGAGAGGAACACCUGCGGCGAAGGCGGGUUGCUGGGCUGACACUGACGCUGAAGCGCGAAAGCUAGGGGAGCGAACGGG
rnacentral:rRNA from 1 species